GGGACGAUGCUUGAGAGGUUAAUAAGGAUGGAUUGUAAAUCCAUUGGUUCUACCUACGCUGGUUCGAAUCCAGCUCGUCCCA
rnacentral:tRNA from 1 species